UGACCGAUAGCGUAUAGUACCGUGAGGGAAAGGUGAAAAGAACCCCGGGAGGGGAGUGAAAGAGAACCUGAAACCCUGCACUUACAAGCUGUAGGAGCACAUUUCUUGUGUGACUGCGUACUUUUUGUAGAACGGGCCAACGAGUUACGUUGUGUAGCAAGGUUAAGCACUUAAGGUGUGGAGCCGUAGCGAAAGCGAGUCUUAAAUGGGCGUCUAGUUACCCGACGUAGACCCGAAACCAGGCGACCUAUCCAUGAGCAGGUUGAAGCGAAAGUAAAAUUUCGUGGAGGACCGAACCCACGUACGUUGAAAAGUGCGGGGAUGACUUGUGGAUAGCGGUGAAAUUCCAAUCGAGCCUGGAGAUAGCUGGUUCUCCCCGAAAUAGCUUUAGGGCUAGCCUCAAGAUUAGAGAAGCGGAGGUAGAGCACUGAAUGUCCUAGGGGGUAUUGCACUUACCGAAGACUAUCAAACUCCGAAUGCCGUAUUCUUUUGCUUGGGAGUCAGACUAUGGGUGAUAAGAUUCAUAGUCAAGAGGGCAACAGCCCAGAUCGUCAGCUAAGGUCCCUAAAUGUAAGUUAAGUGGUAAAGGAUGUGGAAUUGCACAGACAACCAGGAUGUUGGCUUAGAAGCAGCCACUCAUUUAAAGAGUGCGUAAUAGCUCACUGGUCGAGUGAUUCUGCGCCGAAAAUUUCCGGGGCUAAAACUUACUACCGAAGCUACGGCAUCAUUAUGAUGGGUAGGGGAGCUUUCUAUACGGGUUGAAGCAUGACCGUAAGGACAUGUGGACUGUAUAGAAGUGAGAAUGUUGGCAUGAGUAGCGAGAUGUGGGUGAGAAUCCCACAGGCCGUAAACCCAAGGUUUCCAGGGGAAGGUUCGUCCGCCCUGGGUUAGUCAGGACCUAAGCCGAGGCCGAAAGGCGUAGGUGAUGGACAACAGGUUGAUAUUCCUGUACCACCAAUAACCGUUUGAGAAAUGGGAUGACACAGUAGGAUAAGCUAACCGCACUGUUGGUUAUGUGCGGGCAAGUAUUGAGGCAGUUCCGAUAGGCAAAUCCGUCGGAAUAAUGCUGGGGUACGAUGCGGAGCGAAAUUAAGUAGCGAAGUAGCUGAUUUCACACUGUCGAGAAAAGUCUCUAUCGAGGUUAAAGGUGCCUGUACCGCAAACCGACACAGGUGGGUGAGGAGAGUAUCCUAAGGCCAGCGAGAGAACUGUUGUUAAGGAACUCGGCAAAAUGACCCCGUAACUUAGGGAGAAGGGGUGCCUUCGAAAGAAGGCCGCAGAGAAUAGGCCCAAGCGACUGUUUACCAAAAACAUAGGUUUCUGCUAAGUCGCAAGACGAUGUAUAGGAGCUGACGCCUGCCCGGUGCUGGAAGGUUAAGGGGAUCUGUUAGAGCAAUCGAAGCAGUGAACUUAAGCCCCAGUAAACGGCGGCCGUAACUAUAACGGUCCUAAGGUAGCGAAAUUCCUUGUCGGGUAAGUUCCGACCC
rnacentral:rRNA from 1 species